CUACCAGGUUUGGCCAUUGAACCCUGUGCCCAUGUCACCCUUGGAAGUCACAAGGUGAAGCCACCAGAGCCUCUGUCAGCUAGAAGAACACUCAUGGCUGUGGCUGUGAUGGGAUUCUUCCCUGAGAAGGCUUUGUUCCAGAAGCUCGUCCCGGAAGCUGGAUGGUGAUGUGGAGAGGCAAUGAGAUCAUUAAGAGACAGAGCCUUGUGGCAAGUAAGUGGGUCACUGAUGGCCCUGUCUUCAGAAAAGAUUAGUACUCAUCUCAAGGGAUACAUCUGUCCUUCCAAGAAUGAGUUGCUAUAAAAGGACCCUGCCUGCUCCUGCAUCCACUGACUUCCUACUUUGCGUUGCAUGUGGGUGUCAUUGUGACGCCACUCACCAUGAGGUCAUCACUGGAGACUCAAUUAAUAGGCCGUUCAGUCUUGACCUCUUAGACUCAAAGACUGAGUUAAUAAACACCCUCCUUUA
ensembl:lincRNA Gm37336 predicted gene, 37336